AGAACGAACGCUGGCGGCAUGCCUAACACAUGCAAGUCGAACGCUCUUGGGAUUUCGGUCUCAAGGGAGUGGCGCACGGGUGAGUAGCGCGUGGGAACCUGCCCUGUUGUGGGGGAUAACCGAGGGAAACUUCGGCUAAUACCGCAUAAGCCGGCUGUCUUGCGAAAGAUGGCCGGGAAAGAUUUAUCGCGACAGGAGGGGCCCGCGUCGGAUUAGGUAGUUGGUGGGGUAACGGCCCACCAAGCCUGUGAUCCGUAGCUGGUCUGAGAGGAUGAUCAGCCACACUGGGACUGAGACACGGCCCAGACUCCUACGGGAGGCAGCAGUGGGGAAUAUUGGACAAUGGGGGCAACCCUGAUCCAGCAAUGCCGCGUGAGUGAUGAAGGCCUUAGGGUUGUAAAGCUCUUUCGCCCGCGACGAUGAUGACGGUAGCGGGAGAAGAAGCCCCGGCUAACUUCGUGCCAGCAGCCGC
rnacentral:rRNA from 1 species